rnacentral:tRNA from 1 species
UGGGGUGUAGCUCACUGGUAGAGGUUUGUCUAGAAAAUGCAAGGCUCUGGGUUCAAUCUCCAGCACUGCAA